UUAGCUCAUAUUUGUAUGGAACGGGAUCGUUUGCGUACGUUUGCCGCUAGGGGUGCUGUUCCAACUGCAUACAAAAUUGGGGUA
rnacentral:pre_miRNA from 1 species